rnacentral:rRNA from 1 species
AGUGAACGCUGGCGGUAGGCCUAACACAUGCAAGUCGAACGGCAGCACAGUAAGAGCUUGCUCUUACGGGUGGCGAGUGGCGGACGGGUGAGGAAUACAUCGGAAUCUACUUUUUCGUGGGGGAUAACGUAGGGAAACUUACGCUAAUACCGCAUACGACCUACGGGUGAAAGCAGGGGAUCUUCGGACCUUGCGCGAUUGAAUGAGCCGAUGUCGGAUUAGCUAGUUGGCGGGGUAAAGGCCCACCAAGGCGACGAUCCGUAGCUGGUCUGAGAGGAUGAUCAGACACACUGGAACUGAGACACGGUCCAGACUCCUACGGGAGGCAGCAGUGGGGAAUAUUGGACAAUGGGGGCAAGCCUGAUCCAGCCAUACCGCGUGGGUGAAGAAGGCCUUAGGGUUGUAAAGCCCUUUUGUUGGGAAAGAAAAGCAGCAGGUUAAUACCCCGCUGUUCUGACGGUACCCAAAGAAUAAGCACCGGCUAACUUCGUG